rnacentral:rRNA from 1 species
AUUGAACGCUGGCGGCAUGCCUUACACAUGCAAGUCGAACGGCAGCACGGGAGCAAUCCUGGUGGCGAGUGGCGAACGGGUGAGUAAUGUAUCGGAACGUACCUUUCAGUGGGGGAUAACGUAGCGAAAGUUACGCUAAUACCGCAUAUUCUGUGAGCAGGAAAGCAGGGGAUCGCAAGACCUUGCGCUGAUUGAGCGGCCGAUAUCAGAUUAGCUAGUUGGUGAGGUAAAGGCUCACCAAGGCGACGAUCUGUAGCGGGUCUGAGAGGAUGAUCCGCCACACUGGAACUGAGACACGGCCCAGACUCCUACGGGAGGCAGCAGUGGGGAAUUUUGGACAAUGGGCGCAAGCCUGAUCCAGCAAUGCCGCGUGCAGGAAGAAGGCCUCGGUUGUAAC